AGAGAGAGACAUGCGCGCAUAUCAAUAAGCGGAGGAAAAGAAACUAACAAGGAUUCCCCUAGUAACGGCGAGUGAAGCGGGAAGAGCUCAGAUUUGAAAUCUUAAAGGGUUUCCCUUUACGAAUUGUAGUUUAAAGAAGUGUUUUCUGUUGAGGUUUUGGUAAAAGUUCUUUGGAAUAGGACAUCAUAGAGGGUGAGAAUCCCGUAUUUGACCUUUACUUUCAACUUUGUGAUACACUUUCAAAGAGUCGGAUUGUUUGGGAAUGCAGUCCAAAAUGGGUGGUAAAUUUCAUCUAAAGCUAAAUAUUGGCGAGAGACCGAUAGCGAACAAGUACCGUGAGGGAAAGAUGAAAAGAACUUUGAAAAGAGAGUUAAACAGUACGUGAAAUUGUACAAAAGGGAAGCGUUUGACACCAGUGUUGUUUUUCUGAAAAUCAAUUAAAGAACUGUUUAUGCUAAGCUGUUUAGACUUUAUCAGCUAACUGUUUAGUUUUGAGCUUUUCUUUAAUGCACUUUUCAGUUAACAAGUCAACAUCAAUUUCUUUUGCUGUAAAAAAGCUUGAGGAAGGUGGCUUGAGAUUCGUCUUAAGUGUUUAUAGCCUCUUGCCUAUGCAGUCGGAGAGAUUGAGGUCUGCAGCGUAGAUCCUUCGGGGCUAAAUGCAUUUGUGCUAAGUUAUAGCAUUUUAUAGACAACUUGUUGACUAUGAUUUGUCUUGUAGCUUACUCGCUUAUGUUAUUUUACCUACGCUUAGGAUGUUGACGCAUGAGAUAUACGC
rnacentral:rRNA from 1 species